GCUUGCAAAUACUCAAUGACUAUAUUUCUCAAUAUUAUGGGAGCUCAUACGUGUUCAUUGUUCCUGCUCCACCAACUGGGAGUCUUGACCAUGGUGCCUUUGUGGUGACUUUUGUUUUAAAAGUUGAUUGGUCAGAAGAGCGUUUGCAUCUUUCCAAAGAAAUGUCGAGGACUGGCAAAGGAACAAUGGGGUCGUCAUGAUGAGAGCUUUGUUAAUAGAUUGGGAAUUUCAUAAGGAAUUUUUAUUUGUUAGGUUAAGUUUUACAAAUAUAUAUUCGGUUUUAUUACAUGUGCCGAGUGAUUUACGGAUUAGGGAUAUUUUUGACGUGUUUGAAUAUUUUUUGCACCUCGAUUUGACAUGCACAUAUACCGUAUUUUACUUUGUUCCUACCCAUUUUUUUCAA